rnacentral:tRNA from 1 species
AAAAAGGUAAGCUAAAUUAAGCUAAAGGGUUCAUACCCCUCUUAUGGGAGAAAAUCCCCCUUUUUA